GAUGAACGCUAGCUACAGGCUUAACACAUGCAAGUCGCGGGACCGGCGCACGGGUGCGUAACGCGUAUCCAACCUGCCCUUCACCACGGGAUAACCCGGCGAAAGUCCGACUACUACCGUCUGGUUACGGGUGGGGAUGCGUCCGAUUAGCUUGACGGCGGGGGAACGGCCCGACGUGGCUACGAUCGGUAGGGGGUCUGAGAGGAAGGUCCCCCACACUGGAACGGAGACACGGUCCAGACUCCUACGGGAGGCAGCAGUGAGGAAUAUUGGUCAAUGGGCGUAAGCCUGAACCAGCCAAGUAGCGUGCAGGACGACGGCCUAUGGGUUGUAAACUGCUUUUAUGCGGGGAUAGGUACCGCAUGAAUAAGGACCGGCUAAUUCCGUGCCAGCAGCCGCGGUAAUUC
rnacentral:rRNA from 1 species